UUUGCUUCCUGGUCGCGCAGUCUCUGAUUUGCCCUUUCUUCUUACUGGCGAACCAAACGCAGUGCAACCGCAGCUUCAAUUCUCUUCCACGCUUCUCUGCAAAACAGACGGCAAUUCUCUGUGUGAAAACCAAGGGACGGCACUCCUGCUCCAACUUCUUCUUCCUGCUACAUCAGCCCCGUGGAAAUUCAUCUUUGCUAGGUUUUGAAUCUGGACGGAUCAAAAUGCAGAGUGGUAACUCUUUGAUCCCAAUGCAUCCGAUGGCUCCGACGAAUCCAGUUCCCUUCGCUCAAAACGCUCCUCAACCGUGGUUUCCGAUGCUGCCUCCAGCUCCUCCGCCUUCCAGCGCUUUCUGGAACACCGUAAAUGUGCAGAAUCGCCUUAAGGAGUUGCGCCACACCAUCGAUCUCGCUAAAGCCAUGCAGAAAGAAUUAGAGGCAUUGGUUAGAAUCAAAGAAAGUAAAGGACCUUUGGAGAGUGAAGAUGAUACUUCCGAGACCUCAGCGCUAAUGCUCUUUAGGUUUCUUGAGGAUAAUAGGAUUGACAUGAGACUACAAGAUUCACGCUCAUUGCAAGCUGCAAAUGCUGUAAUUACAAAGCUAGGAGCUCAACUUGAGCCAUUUAGAGUUGCUGCGGAUGAAAAAUAUCCAUGGGAGGAAAAGUCUGCAGCGGUGAGGUUAUCUAAUAAAAUCCAGAAGUACAAUCGAAACAAAAAAUGGAGGAAGAGAAAGAGGAAGAGGAUUGCAGAAAUGCUUGCAAAGGAGCGUGAACUUUUUGACCAAGCUGAUCAAGAAGCUGAUGAAUGGAGGGCUAGAGAAAUUGCAAAAGAUAUUGCAAAAAGAAAGGUAGAAAAGAUGAAGGAAAUUGCAAAACUCAAAGCAAAAGAAGAGAAAAAGAUAUUAGAAUCUGAGCUUGAGCUUGUAUUGAUUGUCGAGAAGUUGCAAGAACUUCGAUCUCUCAGGAUCCAAAAAUUGAAAAAACAAGGCCAUUUUCUCCCAGAGGAGGACGAUAAGUUCCUUGAAAGAGUACGGGCAGCAGUUGAGGAAGAGGAGCGUGUGGCAAUGGCAGCAGCUGACACAGAUGCUGCUAAGGAUGCAAUUGCAACUGCUGAGGAAUCUAGAAAAAUUAUUCAAGGUCGUGUGCCGAACUCAAAAGUUGUAAAGGACAGUAAAGGUGGAGAUGAUAAUAGUCAAGACAGGACAGCUGAGACUGAAAAUAGAGAUGACUCAGGUGCAGUCAAUGUCAGGGAAUUGGGGAAGGGAGGAUCAGAAGGACAAAGUCAUGGUGGGGCAUAUGAUGCUGUGGCAAGUUUACCAAUUGAGUUUUAUCACUAUUAUCAUGGCAGCAAUACGGACAUGGGAACACUUAUAGAGGUUAGAAGAAUGUGGGAUCAAUAUAUAAGACCAGGAGGAAGCCGAAUUCCAGGGCACUGGGUUCAGCCACCACCUCCGGCAGAUGAGAUAUGGGCAUCCUACCUGGUUCGGCGGGAAUGAAUCUGGAUUGUCGAGUUGGUGCUCGUGUUAUUACAAUGGACAUGGAUAACUGUUAUUGUAUCUGAUCUCUUCCAAGGCAAUCAAUUGGAAGUUUAAAUCUGAGGUGCCGGAUGUCGAAAGCAUAGUGCCCGAUCAAGCGGCCUCAUAGCACAAGCGAGAAAUGGGAAAGCAAAGCUGUAGAAACAAACAUUCUGCUUUCCCUGCCAAAUUAAGCUAGUGCUUGCCUCAGCCUUUUUACCAUAUCGCGUGAAUGCGAAGCCCUACCGAAAAAAAAAAAUGACAAAAGAAAGCAGAUAUAUAUUAGCACAAUCCCCAAUGCAGCGACAAAAAAUUUCAGCUCAUUUUUUAGGUGCAGAAGGUGAAAUCCCUCGCCUUAAAAGGGUCCUCCACACAUUGUCCCACGCACAUAGAAGGAGUCAUAGAACACGGCAGUCCCCAAGGUAAGAGA